rnacentral:rRNA from 1 species
UACGGGGGGGGCAAGCGUUGUUCGGAAUUACUGGGCGUAAAGGGUUCGUAGGUGGCCUGCUAAGUCAGACGUGAAAUCCCUCAGCUUAACUGGGGAACUGCGUCUGAGACUGGUGGGCUUGAGUGCAGGAGAGGAACGCGGAAUUCCAGGUGUAGCGGUGAAAUGCGUAGAUAUCAGGAGGAACACCGGUGGCGAAGGCGGGUCUCUGGGCAACAACUGACGCUGAGGAGCGAAAGCGUGGGGAGCGAACAGG